UGUGAAGAGGGCACGCUAGCGCCUCUUCCCCCUCAGGAGGCUGAAAAGAUUUGGCAUGGGCCCUCAGAUCCUCGAAGUUCUACAGCUGUACCAUUAAGAGCAUCUUGACUGGCUGCAUCACAGCUUGGUACGGCAUCUGCAAGGCACCCGAUCGCAAGGCACAACAGAGGGUGACGUUUCCUCCUGGGGUUUGUCCAUUAGAACGACAUGCUAGAGAACCAUUUUCCUUCUCCUCCUCCUGCUCCGGACUCUCUCCAGACACUCUCCACAGAAGAACAGGAGGACAUGAAGGUAAAUCUACCCUGCUUUUCUGUCAGCAAGAUAGGAUUCUCUGACAUAGCAAAGGAUGUCAUGUAAGUUUCACUGACCUAAAAGUCAAGGCAUUAUAGACAGCGAGAGAUGUGUGUGGAGAACUGAAUGAAGGGCUGAUCUCCACAUGAAAUGUCAUCACAAAGCCAGGUUCAGCCCCUCAAUGUCAGAUAAUAAAGUUAAUGGAUUGAGCCAAAACUCUAUGGGCAGGGUUCUGAUGGAUGGAAUAAUACUUUAUAUGGAUUGCUGAAGAACACGUUUGAAUGCAACAUAAACUGAAUAAGUGUUACACACAUUUCUUCUAGCACUGAAUUGUAAAUUACAUUAGGCCAACACACUGAUUAUUCUGUUAUAUCAAAUUGUAGCUUGCAUGUUGACUUCACAAGAAUAGCUAGCUAGCUAUUUAAUUAGCUAAUACUUUGCAUGAUGCCACGAUGUUUGCUGAAAUAUCAUGCCAAUGCUAAAUUUGCCAGCUCGCUAGCUAACAAGCUUCAGAGCAUACCCAUCUUACAGACUCAUAAAUCAAUCAACAACAGCUUUAUAGGCUACAGUGCCUAAACCAACCUGAUUUUAAAAUGCUGCUGGCUAGCUAGGAGAGAACAACAUAUAGCUAGCUUUAUCAAAGCAGUCAUUUUGACUUUGAGGUAAUGCGGGUUCGAUUGAGCCCCUAGCUACAUGUGCAUCCUCCAGACAUAACAUUUAUUGUAGGACCAUCCUCAUAUUUUGUCGGAAAAGCUCUGAGAUUGAAUUUACAUGGAGGGAAACAGCUGCUUCACAUUUCUAAUGCCUGGAACAAUUGUAAAGAUAGUAUGUUUGGGCAAAAAUGGAGGUCAUUAUUUUGGGGGAGAUGUCAGUCAUCCCUGUCAGCCUCUAGAAAUAAACAGUAAAAUAACAUUGGCCUUCUUUGGGUCCUGCUGUAUUUUCACUUUCCUAUUUGUCUGGUUCAAAACAAGUGCUUUUUUGAAAUGUGGGGUUUGUUCUCACCCCGUUUAAAAAAUGUUCGCCUGUAGGAUAAUUAUAUUUUAUCACACAAUAACUAUGACAUAGUUAUUAUACAGUAAUAUCCACCUGUCACUGAUGCAAUGGUAUCCUGUAGCACACUAGGUGGCUAUGCUUUGAGCUGGAGUCAGUCAGAUCACAGCCAAAAGAAGGGCGACACAAUUCACCCCUUGACCAUCAACCCUGCAGCUGCACUGUCGAUCUAUAGGUGAAGUACUCUACUGUGUUUUUGUCACCCAUUCACCCAGCCAUGUGUAAUUGAUCCCUCAUAUGUCUGAAAAAACACUUCAAGGUCCAAUAUUAUCUCCUUGGUCAGCUGGAUCACGUGCCCUCUCUUUUAUAUUUAAAUACAGUAAAAGCAUAAGAGGAAUGGGUUUGGAAAGAAACCAUUACUACUGGACAGGUCAGGGGCAGCCCCAACUUACAGAGAAAGAGUAAGAGGUGGAGUAAUUGUCACACCAUGUCUAAGUCUGGCCCGGCCUCCCAAAGACCCCUUGUCCCUGUGCUAUACAAUGUUCUAUUCUGGCCUAGCCGUACAGGAGAAUCCAAAGCCAAUUCCAUCUUCUGAAUUUAGUUCAAAUGUAAUGUUUUCAAUUUGUAUUUGAAGGUAUACGUUUUAGUGACAUCAAGUACUCCAAUCGAAAAGCAUGCAAACAACAUUGUGCGUUAACGAUAGCUAUUAGAAUAAAUCGUUUUAGGUCUCCAUAAAGAUGUUUACAAACUUCUAGGAGAGAAAGUGUAAAAACUUCUAGGAAAAUGAUAAACUACUUUAAACACAAUUGUUUUUAGCAUGUUGCAUUUUUAUGUACACUAAACAGUUAAAAUACAUAUUUAUGUGUAUUUAUAUGUGGUAUUUAUUAAUACCAUAGUAUAGCUAUGUCUAGGCACUCAACUAAAGGGCUUUCUCUUUUUCUGGAUGUCAUGUGUGGCUUCAAACAAAACUAGCAGCCAUAUGUUUUCCCCUCUUGUGAAUGGGUGUGGCAGGGUUAUUCUGUUAAUAGUUAUCGGUCCUCAAGUCCUCGAAUUGUAAACACGUUUUUUACACCACUCUCAGCACUCUGCGAUCGAGGGAGUUUUGUCAACAGUGGGGCCCAAAGAUAAGCAUGCAGGCUGAACCUGUUCCGGCCUGCAGUGCCCUCUGCAGCACCUCAGCACCACGCUCAGUCAUAUCUCUCCCAGAACAGCCAGAUCACAUGGGUUAAUCUCCUCUUACCCUGACUCUUCAAGAGCACAAGCCCUGCACUUUUGGACUCAGGCCCAGUGCACUCUAUGCAAGUGCAUCCAAUGCCAUGGAGGUAGAGCCCACACACAUCUCUGACUGCUCACUGGCACCAGUUAGCAAACUACAGAAAGAGGAGGUAAAAGAAGAGAAUGUCAGGAUGUCCAACACCAGCGAGCGGUGUGGCAAACAAACAUUUGCAGACGUCUGACUGCAUCCUCUGCUUUUUAAGGACCUCCAAUUCAAAUGUAUUUAAAUCUUGUUUUCAGCUAUUAAAUAAUAUACAUUUAAUUGUUUUUACACUCAGUAAGGAGAACAAUACCCACACACUGUUUAAAUGGUCAUUAACAAACGCUUUACUGGUGCUCUAGUCCUACUUUUUGUUGCAUGUCACCAACUCCUCUAGUCUAAGCCAUACAUUUCAGAUUUAAAAUCCAUAGUUUGAUAAUAGGGCCUUCAUUUUGUAAAUGGUUUGUGCAGUGUAAAACCUGAUGUGCCGGAAACAGAGAUUGCAUACAUAGUGUGGUUUUAUAAGGUCAAAUUGUUCAAAAGCAGUUUUACAAGUCGCCUGCUUAGACAAGUUUAUCUCAUGCUAUAAAUUCCCUCCCCUGUGUAAAUACGUCACUGGAAUACCUUGUAUGUGACAGACCUACCAACGUUUUAGAUAGCUUUGGGAGGGAACAGUGACACUUAUAUAUGCAUUGAAAUUAAAAGGAAAUAGAGGAGCAUCUCCAUUGGGAGACUAGGCCUCUGAUGUCCCUCCCAGGUACUUUGAUCCCUCUUGUGUAGUGAAGCAAAAACCCAAUCAUUCCUAUACACAUAAAAGUUAACAGAGUAUGGCCUGGUAUUUAGCUUUAUGUUUAUCUGUGUUGUUAAUGCGAGUGAUGAGACUAUGGCUUGUCACUGCAGGUCAGAUUGGCAGGUGUUGUGCUUUUCCAAAGCUCUGGUUUCAUAACCCUUUCCGCUUAGCCACCCACAAUGCAGAGCGGGGGGAGGGGGGGCGGCUAACAGGAUAUAUAUGCAUUUUGUACAAUGUGUUUUCCUAUCUUCAAUGUUAAUGAAGUCUAAAUACCACUUACAUGUAAAUUAAUUGUAAUUACCAUGUUGAGGUUUGAGAGAGCCUUCUUUGAUCUGCUGAAUGGGUUGCGCUUUCAGGGCUUCGAUAGUAUCUCAGAGACUAGAGUGAGAGGCGGUGGGGGAGAGGAAGAUAAAGUAAUGUGAGCAGAACACACUCUCUCGCUGUACAUUCUGUGGGACCACAGGAGAACCUGAUGAAGAUGAUAGAGAGGCCCUCUGAUUAACCAGCCAGUGAGCACGAUGCAUGUCCCUGCCAGGGCAAACAAAUGAAACUAUUGUAAUGCUAUGACAGACUUUGAUCACAACUGUGUUCACAGAGAUCUCUUAAUCAGAAGUGCUCCGCGAUUAAACUGUCACUGGCUGGCAUCUGAGGAGGGUCAUUGCAUUGCAUUGGGUUUCAUAGGAUGCACAAGCAGUAAUAACAUUGUAGUACAAUGUUUUGGGGUGUGUAACAUCUUAGGCUACAAAUGCUAUCGGUCUAAACUAAGAACUUACAACAAACAUAAGCCAGAUUUGUCAGCUCAAUAACUUUCAUUGUUUAUUUAAGUUUUUUCACAAUUUUCAAAUUGUGUCAGAGAAAUGAAUUGUUAUAACAUGCCCUACAGAAAUGUAUAAAUGAAUAAUAAGUAGAACUGAAACUGUCCUGUAAACUGUCUUCUGUAAACCAUUACAAUGCAGAGCUGAAAACAAAUUGACCUCAUCAUUGAAGACAGCAGAAAGUUUUCACAGCCAGCAGUCCCAUCUGUACAGAUCCACAAUGAAUAUGCAUGUAACCAGAUAUGAUAUACCCUGGGCCAUUAAUAAUCUUGUCAUCUGAUUUGAGAGCUCAAAGUUAUUCUGUACCCCCUCCACACCCACCCCUUGCAUUCUCCCAACCCCCAUCUUGAAUGACUGCGAAUGCCAGGGCUUGAGUCUCAGUUUACAGAGAGAAGCUAGCAAGGUGCAGAACUAGCCAAAAUGAGAAAAAAGCACAAUGGAAUAGAGGGCCCUUUUGACUUAUUCUUCUCCCUUUUAUUGGGAUUAAACGGUUUAAUAUCAUGUGAAAAUGAAGCUGGUAGGUGUGUCAAGAAGCCGAGAGAGAUGUCAGUAAGUUGGUGUGUCAGGGUGUGCAUACUGACCUUGAAUAGUGAACAAGUAUCAGGGUGAGAAGGUGGAGGGUAAGACGACUGAUGCAAGGUAACAUUUGCAAUUGGGGGGUUUUGGUUUCAGGCUCUCCAGUCAUCAAUCAUCCAAGCACUAUUCUGUUCUUUGACAGCUCACUACAAGGCUUGACAUUUAACACUCACGACCCUGGAUCAGUCUAUGCCCGAAGCCCAGGGACUUCAGAAAUACAAAAAUGGAAUAGAAUGAUACUUUCUCCCCAUUGGUAAGUGGUAGAGCUGAAGAAAAGCAGAUACAAAUUAAUAAUUCCCAUCUGCAAUAGAGUUUGGUCUGUUGAAAUGACUGCUAAAUGCCUCCCAUAGGUCCCUCUACCCCCCUCGCCUUGUACCCUCCAACACACAAAAGGGCAAAAUUAAACAGUCAAGAGGCCUCAAGGUCUAUUAGAAUACAUGAAAGUAUGUUCCUGUGUGUGCUGAGUGGGGUGAUGAGUGGGGGCCUAGAAUGCAUGGACUCUGUGAACUUUACAAGAGAUUGCUUGGGGAAAGUGUAACCUGCCGAAAUCAACCUUACCUUACCUCACCAAGUUAGCGUUAUUAAUAUUAUAAAAUAUAACUAAGGAUAUUUUCAAUAUUCUCUAGACUGGGGCAAUAAUAGGGGCAAUAACAAUUGCAAACCAUCCCACCGUAGCUCAGAUCAUGAUUUCCCCAUUGAUUAAUCAGCCUUUGCAUAGAUCAUAAAUGAACAUUCAAAUUACUGACUCUUAGUCCUCUGGUUGGGUUUAAAUAUUACAAUUGUUCAUAUCUCUCCAGAGCGAAUGAGCUCAUGUUUAUCUGACCACAGUUGGUUUCAUCCUGUUUUUAGGUUAGUAGGUCGCUUUAAAUAGCACAAUAAUAUUAUGAGGGGAUAAAAUGAGUCAAGUCAUGUCUGAUCUGCUGUAACUGUUUAAAUAGAUGCCCUGUGUGAAAUCAGAUGUUUCCAACUGUCACGUCCUGACCAUAGUAAGUUGUUAUUUUCUAUGGUAGAGUAGGUCAGGGCGUGACAGGGGGUGU